GAUGAAGAACUUAGCGAAAUGCGAUAAGUAAUGUGAAUUGCAGAAUUCAGUGAAUCAUCGAAUCUUUGAACGCACAUUGCGCCCCUUGGUAUUCCGAGGGGCAUGCCUGUUCGAGCGUCAUUAUAACCCCUCAAGCUCAGCUUGGUGUUGGGGCCUGCCGCACGGGCAGCCCUUAAAAUCAGUGGCGGUGCCAUCUGGCUCUAAGCGUAGUAAUUCUUCUCGCUAUAGAGUCCCGGUGGAUGCUUGCCAUUAACCCCCAAUUUUCUAUGGUUGACCUCGGAUCAGGUAGGGAUACCCGCUGAACUUAAGCAUAUCAAUAAGCGGAGGA
rnacentral:misc_RNA from 1 species